ACCUCUUCGUGGGGAAUAACGCUCCGAAAGGAGUGGUAAUACCGCAUGAGAUCCACGGCUGGGAUGCUGUGGAUGAAAGCUGGGGCUCGUAAGACCUAGCGCGAGGAGAGGGUCCUGCGUCUGAUUAGCUAGUUGGUGGGGUAACGGCUCACCAAGGCGACGAUCAGUAGCCGGCCUGAGAGGGUGAUCGGCCACACUGGAACUGAGACACGGUCCAGACUCCUACGGGAGGCAGCAGUGGGGAAUUUUGCGCAAUGGGCGAAAGCCUGACGCAGCAACGCCGCGUGGGUGAUGAAGGUCUUCGGAUUGUAAAACCCUGUCGUCGGGGACGAAGGUUGGGGGAUGAAUAAUCUUUCAGCUUGACGGUACCCGAAGAGGAAGCCCCGGCUAACUCUGUGCCAGCAGCCGCGGUAAUACAGAGGGGGCAAGCGUUAUUCGGAAUUAUUGGGCGUAAAGGGCGCGUAGGCGGUAAUUUAAGUGAGAUGUGUAAUCCCCGGGCUCAACCUGGGAACUGCAUCUCAGACUGGAUUGCUAGAGUGCUGGAGAGGGUGGUGGAAUUCCUCGUGUAGCGGUGAAAUGCGUAGAGAUGAGGAGGAACACCAGUGGCGAAGGCGGCCACCUGGACAGUAACUGACGCUGAGGCGCGAAAGUGUGGGUAGCAAACAGGAUUAGAUACCCUGGUAGUCC
rnacentral:rRNA from 1 species